rnacentral:rRNA from 1 species
GACGAACGCUGGCGGCGUGCUUAACACAUGCAAGUCGAACGGAAAGGCCCUGCUUUUGUGGGGUGCUCGAGUGGCGAACGGGUGAGUAACACGUGAGUAACCUGCCCUUGACUUUGGGAUAACUUCAGGAAACUGGGGCUAAUACCGGAUAGGAGCUCCUGCUGCAUGGUGGGGGUUGGAAAUUUUCGGCGGUUGGGGAUGGACUCGCGGCUUAUCAGCUUGUUGGUGGGGUAGUGGCUUACCAAGGCUUUGACGGGUAGCCGGCCUGAGAGGGUGACCGGCGACAUUGGGACUGAGAUACGGACCAGAGUGCUACGGGAGGCAGUAGUGGGGAAUAUUGCACAAUGGGCGGAAGUCUGAUGCAGAAACGCCGCGUGCGGGAUGACGGCCUUCGGGUUGUAAAACGCUUUCGCCUGUGACGAAGCGUGAGUGACGGUAAUGGGUAAAGAAGCACCGGCUAACUACGUG